AUUGAACGCUGGCGGCAUGCCUUACACAUGCAAGUCGAACGGUAACGCGGGGCAACCUGGCGACGAGUGGCGAACGGGUGAGUAAUGCAUCGGAACGUGCCCAGUAGUGGGGGAUAGCCCGGCGAAAGCCGGAUUAAUACCGCAUACGACCUAAGGGUGAAAGGGGGGGAUCGCAAGACCUCUCGCUAUUGGAGCGGCCGAUGUCAGAUUAGGUAGUUGGUGGGGUAAAGGCCUACCAAGCCGACGAUCUGUAGCUGGUCUGAGAGGACGACCAGCCACACUGGGACUGAGACACGGCCCAGACUCCUACGGGAGGCAGCAGUGGGGAAUUUUGGACAAUGGACGCAAGUCUGAUCCAGCCAUGCCGCGUGCGGGAAGAAGGCCUUCGGGUUGUAAACCGCUUUUGUCAGGGAAGAAAUCUUCUGGGUUAAUACCUCGGGAGGAUGACGGUACCUGAAGAAUAAGCACCGGCUAACUACGUGCCAGCCGCCGCAGUAA
rnacentral:rRNA from 1 species